GAGCUGCCCGCCAGUCCCGUGCGGUGCGCACGCACUCCUCAGCCCUUGGGUGCUACCCUAUAGUUGGCUGCCUGGCUUCAGAGCUUUUUUUGAACUUGGAAGACUUCAAGCCCCAACUGAGGAAUCCUUGAUGCUCUGUUGUUUUGUCUUGCUAAAAUGUACAAGAAACUUGCACAGCUCUGUCCUUCAGGCUUAAAAUCAUCCCAGGGAGGUCACUCUAAUUCCUUUUAAUGUGUGCUGAAGAAAGGGCAGCACAGCUGAAGCCUGAUUUAAAAUCUGAUCUUCUCCCUAAUGUCACAAGGACAUCCUGAGACAAUGGCUGAGGAGCUAUGCACCAGUACCCAGCUGGAUCCCUGAUACUUACAUUGGCAGAUGCAUUAUCAACAGAGACAUCGAUUUAGAGUGAAUUAAAGGAAUUACAAAGAUCAAGAUGAAUUCAGUGAAGCUUCCCAUAGGACUGUUCAAAGAUCUCCAGGCCUGCCAUUCAUGCAUUCAUGUGAGAGAGACACUUUGGGCCUAAGAAAUGAAGGCCAAUUCAUGUGGAGUCAGUCCUCUUAUAACCACAGUAGGAUAGAACUUGUUUCUGAGACCUUCAGAAGGACUAAGCCCUAGGCAAACAGCCCCAGUGAAGUCAGCUCUAAGGACAUAUUGAGGUAAGAACUAGGGAAAAUUCAUGUUUUAUUUCCCUAUUGCUUUUAAAAUCCAAUUUAAAAUGUAUUACCUAUCAAGAGAGAAUUCUCUAUAAUUUCGUGAAAAUGAUUUAUAUGGCUCCGGAUAUGUAUUUUUUUGUCCCCCUUUUCCCCUCCCAUUUACUCCUUCAGCCACAGGUAAAUACUUUUUGCCAUGACCUCUCUCUCUGUGAAAUCAAACUAAUAUGCUAACUUUUGUUUGCUUUUCUUGUGCAACACUGCUGAUGAGAAACAUUUUGUCCUCCUUCGUCUAUUUCUGUUAUAUUAUUUUAAGACCUGUCAUUAUAAUAAAAAAUAUCUUAAUGCUGAUAAUGACAUUGAUGAUGGUUAUGAUGACUUCAAGCUCUGCCCUAGACAAUUAACUCCAUAAAGGCAGGAACUGUAUCUAUCUUCUUUAGCAUUUCAUAAGGCAAACCCAACAGUGUCCCUGACUUGCAGCAAGUACUCAAGAAAAA
rnacentral:lncRNA from 1 species